CGUGUAGGCGGUUUGUCAAGUCGGGUGUGAAAGCCUGGGGCUCAGCCCCAGAAGUGCAUCCGAAACUAGCGAGCUAGAGCGCGAUAGAGGAGGGUGGAAUUCCUGGUGUAGCGGUGAAAUGCGUAGAUAUCAGGAGGAACACCGGCGGCGAAGGCGGCCCUCUGGAUCGUUGCUGACGCUGAGACGCGAAAGCGUGGGGAGCAAACAGGAUUAGAUACCCUGGUAGUCCACGCCUUAAACGAUGGGUACUAGGUGUUCGGGGUGUUGACCCCCUGAGUGCCGCAGUUAACGCAUUAAGUACCCCGCCUGGGGACCACGGCCGCAAGGUUAAA
rnacentral:rRNA from 1 species